GAUGAAGAACGCAGUGAAAUGCGAUAAGUAAUGUGAAUUGCAGAAUUCAGUGAAUCAUCGAAUCUUUGAACGCACAUUGCGCCCCCUGGUAUUCCGGGGGGCAUGCCUGUUCGAGCGUCAUUUCACCACUCAAGCCUCGCUUGGUAUUGGGCAACGCGGUCCGCCGCGUGCCUCAAAUCGUCCGGCUGGGUCUUCUGUCCCCUAAGCGUUGUGGAAACUAUUCGCUAAAGGGUGUUCGGGAGGCUACGCCGUAAAACAACCCCAUUUCUAAGGUUGACCUCGGACCAGGUAGGGAUACCCGCUGAACUUAAGCAUAUCAAUAAGCGGAGGA
rnacentral:misc_RNA from 1 species